rnacentral:rRNA from 2 species
CUUUUAUGGAGAGUUUGAUCCUGGCUCAGGACGAACGCUGGCGGCGUGCCUAAUACAUGCAAGUCGAGCGG